rnacentral:tRNA from 1 species
GGUUGGUAGUGCAGUGGUGAGCUCAGCCGCCUUCCAAGCAGUUGCCCCAGGUUUGAUUCCUGGCCAACACA